AUCUUCUUCUUCCUGGGUUUCAUAUUUGUGACCUGAGCCUAUUUGUGUUUGGAGGGAAAAAUGAUUUUCCUUAGAUUCUUCAGACUGGGGAGAGAGCAUACUGAACUGAGAAAUUAUCAUCCCUUCCAAUAGCUCAUUAACUAUAGUAAUGUUAGAGCAGGGGAGACAACACUUCAUCUCCUUUCCUAGGCCCAUGGGAACUUUGCAGUCAUUUUGGGGAGCCAUUGUUUAAAAACAAAUUGAG
rnacentral:lncRNA from 1 species